rnacentral:rRNA from 1 species
ACCUGCGAUUUUGUUCCAGCUAUCCUGAGGGAAAACUUCGGAGGGAACCAGCUAACUAGAUGGUUCGAUUAGUCUUUCGCCCCUAUACCCAAGUUUGACGAGUGAUUUGCACGUCAACAACGCUACGAGCCUCCAUCAGGGUUUCCCCUGACUUCACCCUACUCAGGCAUAGUUCACCAUCUUUCGGGUCCUAACAGAUAUGCUAUAACUCAAACCUGUUUUACUAGGUCGGUCGAUGCUGUUACUUGCGUUGCGCACCUUUUACUUUCAUUUUGCGUAUGAGUUUUUCCACUCGCACACUCGCAUAUAUGUUAGACUCCUUGGUCCGUGUUUCAAGACGGGACAGUAAAAACCAUUUUGGCAAAAUCACAAUAGUCCCUCAAGCUAGUUAUAUCUUACUCGGUUUGCCCUUUUUUGAUAUAGCUAACUUCAUUUUGCCCGUCGUAUUGGGAAGACUUCCGUAUUGCUACGUGAUCUUUCAUUACGACUGUCAGUUUUUACCGCUUCCUUCUCAACGAUUUCAGAUCUUUUCACUCUCUUUUCAAAGUCCUUUUCAUCUUUCCUUCACAGUACUUGUUCGCUAUCGGUCUCCCAUCCUUAUUUAGCUUUGGAAGAUUCAUAUCUCCCACUUAGAGCUGCAGUUCCAAGCAACUCGACUCUUUUUGAGAAUACCUUGUUCGAGAAAAAGCUGUACGGGGCUUUCACCCUCUCUGGCUCAUGUUUCGACAUGAUUGAGCGAGUUCUCGUAUUUAGGUUUUCCUGAUUACAAUUCGAAAAUUCUUUGAAUUUUCGAUUCCAAUUUUGAGCUUUUGCCGGUUCAGUCGCCCUUACUAAGGCAAUCUUAGUAAUCU